UUAAAUUACCAGAUGACAACUUCAUCGUUCGGUAGAUAGUUAUGUAGUGAUUAGAGAAAUUAAGUGUAUGUUAAGUACACCACCAUAACUGGGAAGAGAGCUUUAAGCUCUCUUUUCUUUUUUAU
rnacentral:ncRNA from 1 species